AACACUGUUAACCUGCGGUACCUGCGGAGGGAUCAUCAUUGAACCUCUAAAUAUCAAAACACGCUCUGUGCACUUGUUGUUGGGGGGGAGAGAUUUGGUGGCUGCCGCCGCCAAGUUUAGCCCCCCCACAUUUUUAACAACAUAAACCCCCUUUUUUACCUCUUUAUCCAUACUUAAAACACAAAAACAUAACCAAAAGACAACUUUCAACAAUGGAUCU
rnacentral:misc_RNA from 1 species